rnacentral:rRNA from 1 species
CUAGAGAUAGAAAGUUACUUCGGUACAUCGGUGACAGGUGGUGCAUGGUUGUCGUCAGCUCGUGUCGUGAGAUGUUGGUUAAGUCCCGCAACGAGCGCAACCCCUAUUGUUAGUUGCCAUCAUUCAGUUGGGCACUCUAGCGAGACUGCCGGUAACAAACCGGAGGAAGUGGGAUGACGUCAAAUCAUCAUGCCCCUUAUGACCUGGGCUACACACGUGCUACAAUGGUUGGUACAACGAGUUGCGAGUCGGUGACGGCGAGCUAAUCUCUUAAAGCCAAUCUCAGUUCGGAUUGUAGGCUGCAACUCGCCUACAUGAAGUCGGAAUCGCUAGUAAUCGCGGAUCAGCACGCCGCGGUCGAAUACGUUCCCGGGCCUU